rnacentral:rRNA from 1 species
GAACGGGUGANUAACGCGUGAGGAACCUGCCUCAAAGAGGGGGACAACAGUUGGAAACGACUGCUAAUACCGCAUAAGCCCACGGCUCGGCAUCGAGCAGGGGGAAAAGGAGCAAUCCGCUUUGAGAUGGCCUCGCGUCCGAUUAGCUAGUUGGUGAGGUAACGGCCCACCAAGGCGACGAUCGGUAGCCGGACUGAGAGGUUGAACGGCCACAUUGGGACUGAGACACGGCCCAGACUCCUACGGGAGGCAGCAGUGGGGAAUAUUGCACAAUGGGGGAAGCCCUGAUGCAGCGACGCCGCGUGGAGGAAGAAGGUCUUCGGAUUGUAAACUCCUGUUGUUGAGGAAGAUAAUGACGGUACUCAACAAGGAAGUGACGGCUAACUACGUGCCAGCAGCCGCGAUAAAACGUAGGUCACAAGCGUUGUCCGGAAUUACUGGGUGUAAAGGGAGCGCAGGCGGGAGAACAAGCUGGAAGUGAAAUCCAUGGGCUCAACCCAUGAACUGCUUUCAAAACUGUUUUUCUUGAGUAGUGCAGAGGUAGGCGGAAUUCCCGGUGUAGCGGUGGAAUGCGUAGAUAUCGGGAGGAACACCAGUGGCGAAGGCGGCCUACUGGGCACCAACUGACGCUGAGGCUCGAAAGUGUGGGUAGCAAACAGGAUUAGAUACCCUGGUAGUCCACACCGUAAACGAUGAUUACUAGGUGU